rnacentral:rRNA from 1 species
CGCGCAGGCGGCCUUUUAAGUUGGAUGUGAAAGCCUACGGCUCAACCGUAGAACUGCAUCCAAAACUAUUGGGCUAGAGUGUGGGAGAGGAAGAUGGAAUUAGUUGUGUAGGGGUAAAAUCCGUAGAGAUAACUAGGAAUACCAAAAGCGAAGGCAAUCUUCUGGAACAUUACUGACGCUGAGGUACGAAAGCGUGGGGAGCGAACAGGAUUAGAUACCCUGGUAGUCC